CCAAUAGCGUAUAUUAAAGUUGUUGCAGUUAAAAAGCUCGUAGUUGAAUUUCGGGAUCAAUAUGUCGGUCGUGCCUUGGUACGUACUGGUAUCAUUGGUUUCUCCUUUCUGACGAACCAUGAUGUCAUUAAUUUGGUGUUAUGGGAAGUUAGGACUGUUACUUUGAAAAAAUUAGAGUGUUUAAAGCAGGCUUUAGCUUG
rnacentral:rRNA from 1 species